rnacentral:tRNA from 1 species
GCUCUGUGGCUUAGCUGGAUAUAGCGCCUGUCUCGUAAAUAGGAGAUCCUGGGUCCAAAUCCCUGACUAAGCA